AUGACCAAGUUAGUGGGGCUGCAAUUUCAGUUUCAAUACAAAAAAGGCAGUGAGAACUUAGCAGCUGAUGCCUUAUCCAGAGUAGGGCACUUACUGGCAGUGACCACUACUUCCACCAGUAGACCUGUGUGGUUACAGGAAGUACUUAAUUCAUAUGAGGUGGACCCAGAUGCUCAAACACUGCUUCAGAAACUAGCUAUUUCUGCUGCUGAUACAUCAGAGUACUCUCUGGAGAAAGGUGUGAUCAAGCAUCAAGGCAGAAUAUGGAUUGGAGCAAAUCAAGCAUUGAGAACAAAACUCAUUUCUGCCUUUCAUGCAAGUGCUGUGGGGGGACACUCUGGCAUCCAGGCUACAUAUCAAAGAGUUAGGAAACUGUUUGUGUGGACUGGGCUGAAACAAGAUAUCAUUGAUUUUGUUCAUCAAUGUGCUGUGUGUCAACAAGCAAAGCAUGAACAUGUGAAAUCUCCCGGAUUACUUCAACCACUUCCUGUACCUGACGGACCUUGGCAGGAGAUCACCAUGGACUUCAUCGAAGCUCUACCAAAAUCUGAGGGCUAUACAGUGAUCUUAGUGGUGGUUGAUAGACUGACCAAGUAUGCUCACUUUAUCCCCUUGAAACAUCCUUUCUCUGCUCCAGUGGUAGCGAAAGCAUUCCUACAUACUGUGGUCAAAUUGCAUGGACCACCCCAUACUAUAGUUUCAGAUAGGGACAAGAUCUUUACCAGUCACUUUUGGAAGGAUUUGUUCAAGCUUUGGGAUACUAAAUUGCUCAUGAGUACUGCCUAUCAUCCUCAAACAGAUGGGCAGAGUGAAAGAGUGAAUAAGUGUUUGGAGAUGUUUCUCAGAUGUGCAGUACAUGAUACUCCAACAAAAUGGCAUUCCUGGUUACCCUUAGCAGAAUUCUGGUACAAUACUAAUUUUCAUUCUGCUUUGGAGUGCUCCCCUUUCAAAGCUCUCUAUGGAUAUGAACCUACUUAUGGGGUGUUUCCCUCUUUGCUUACCUCUGAGAAUGUUGAAGUGGAACAGUGGCUUAAGGAACACCAGGCACAUACAUCUCUGCUGAAGGCGCACUUACUUAAAGCCCAGACGAAGAUGAAACACUAUGCAGAUCAGAACAGAUCACCCAGGAUGUUUUCGGUGGGAGACUCGGUGUAUUUGAAGCUCCAGCCAUAUGCUCAACACACUGUAGUCAACCGACCAUGUGCAAAAUUAGCAUAUAAGUUCUAUGGGCCUUUUGAAGUUUUGGAACAGAUCGGACCGGCUGCUUACAAACUUCAGCUACCUGCAGCAGCCCAGAUCCACCCCGUGUUUCACGUCUCUCAACUCAAAGAAUUUGUGCCAGAUCAUACACCAGUCUUCUCCACUGUGCCUGCCCCAGUUGAUUUUUCCAGUAUGGACGUGCAGCCAGGUAUGAUCUUGGACAGGAAAUUAGUCAAAAAAGGUGACAGUGCAUUGUUGCAGGUUUUGGUACAGUGGACAGGACUUCCAGCCGAGGCAGCCACCUGGGAGGAUUACGAUACAAUCAAGCUUCGCUACCCUACUGCUCCAGCCUGGGGUCAGGCUGAAUCUCAAGAGGGCGGCACUGUCAGCACUAGAGCUCUGUUGCUGACGAACGGCGCAUCAGGGAGCAGACAGGAGAAGAAGGGGACAGAUACUAAGUGGCAGGCCGAAAGUUGA
rnacentral:rRNA from 1 species